rnacentral:misc_RNA from 1 species
GAUGAAGAACGUAGUGAAAUGCGAUAAGUAAUGUGAAUUGCAGAAUUCAGUGAAUCAUCGAAUCUUUGAACGCACAUUGCGCCCCCUGGUAUUCCGGGGGGCAUGCCUGUUCGAGCGUCAUUUCACCACUCAAGCCUCGCUUGGUAUUGGGCAACGCGGUCCGCCGCGUGCCUCAAAUCGACCGGCUGGGUCUUCUGUCCCCUAAGCGUUGUGGAAACUAUUCGCUAAAGGGUGUUCGGGAGGCUACGCCGUAAAACAACCCAAUUUCUAAGGUUGACCUCGGAUCAGGUAGGGAUACCCGCUGAACUUAAGCAUAUCAAUAAGCGGAGGA